rnacentral:lncRNA from 1 species
GUGGUGGUGAUGGAGAUGGAGGAGGUGGAGAUUUGUAGUAGUAUGGUGGUGGUGGUGAUGGUGAUGGUGGUGGUGGAGAUUUGUAGUAGUAUGGUGGUGGUGGAGAGUAGGCUGGUGGUGGUGGAGAUUUGUAGUAGUAUGGUGGUGGUGGAGAGUGGACUGGUGGUGGUGGGGACUUGUAGUAGUAAGGAGGAGGCGGAGAUGAAGACGGGGGAGGAGGGGAUUUGUAGUAGUAUGGAGGUGGUGGUGAUGGAGAUGGAGGUGGUGGGGAUUUGUAGUAGUAAGGAGGAGGAGGAGAUGGUGAUGGUGGAGGCGGGGAGUUGUAGUGGUAGGUUGGUGCUGGGGCCUUCACUGGAGGUGGUGGUGAUUUGUAGUAGUAUGGUGGGGGUGGAGAGUGGACUGGUGGUGGUGGAGACUUGUAGUAAUAUGGUGGGGGUGGAGAGUGGACUGGUGGGGGUGGAGAUUUGUAGUAGUAUGGUGGUGGUGGUGGUGACUUAUAAACAUAGGUAGGGCUUGGUGGUGGCGGGGACUUGUAAUAGUAUGGUGGAGGAGGUGGUGACUUGUAAGCAUAAGUAGGCGAUGGUGGUGGUGGAGAGGUGUAAUAGUAAGGAGAUGGAGUAG